ACCAUUUCCGGUUUCCAGUUUCAUUCUAUUUUCACUCCCCAUAGAAAUGCACCAGUUUUCAACUGUAGACCCAAACGAAUCAUCAAGAAGUUGCAGAUCCCUUCGCCUACUCGCAUAUCAGCUUUAACUGCUUGCCCUAGACCUCUUUCCACAAUGCGGGUACUUGUCUAAGUUGGGUAGCUUUCAUACUUGGAUGCUGAAAAUCCCAAAUUUAAAUCAUCUUACCUUCGAAUGGAGUUUACCGAGCCUUACAAGCAGAGCGGGCCGUGUUCUUUCUCGCCCAAUGCUCGGUUUAUUGCUGUCGCAGUCGAUUACCGUCUCGUGAUUCGCGAUGUACUCACACUCAAGGUGGUGCAGCUGUAUUCAUGCUUGGAUAAGAUUACAUACAUUGAAUGGGCUCUGGAUUCUGAGUACAUACUUUGUGGUCUCUACAAGAGACCAAUGAUACAGGCGUGGUCGUUGACGCAACCUGACUGGACGUGUAAGAUAGACGAGGGGCCUGCUGGUAUUACUUAUGCAAGAUGGAGUCCAGACAGUCGCCACAUACUUACAACAUCUGAAUUUCAGCUCAGGUUGACUGUGUGGUCACUCUUGAACACGGCAUGCAUACAUGUCCAGUGGCCAAAGCAUGGCUCUAAGGGGGUCUCGUUCACCAAAGACGGAAAAUUUGCUGCAGUUUGUACGAGGCGUGAUUGCAAAGAUUAUGUCAAUCUGCUCUCUUGCCAUACGUGGGAGAUAAUUAGUGUCUUUGCUGUUGACACGUUGGAUUUGGCGGAUAUUCAGUGGUCACCUGAUGACAGUGCAAUAGUGAUAUGGGAUUCUUCUUUGGAGUACAAGAUUUUGAUAUAUUCCCCAGACGGGCGUUGUCUUUCCAAAUAUCAAGCAUAUGAAAGUGGACUAGGUGUCAAAAGUGUUGCAUGGUCCCCUUGUAGCCAGUUUCUAGCAGUAGGAAGUUAUGAUCAGAUGCUGAGGGUUUUGAACCACUUGACAUGGAAAGUAUUUGCAGAAUUUACACACCUAUCGACUGUACGUGCACCUUGUUCUGCUGCUGUUUUCAAGGAGGUGGAUGAGCCCUUGCAACUUGAUAUGUCGGAAUUAACAUUAAGUGAUGAUCUUGUGCCUCAAAGUGGUGAUGAUGCUCCUGAAACACGAAUUGAAGUUAGGUAUGAUGUGAUGGAACUGCCAAUCAAUCUACCUUGCCAGAAACCUCCAGCAGAUAAACCAAAUCCCAAGCAAGGAAUCGGUCUCGUAUCAUGGAGCAGUGACAGCCUGUACAUCUGUACUCGCAAUGACAGCAUGCCCACUGUCCUCUGGAUAUGGGAUGUACAGCAUCUUGAGCUUGCUGCCAUCUUAAUCCAAAAAGAUCCUGUUCGAGCAGCUGCCUGGGAUCCAAUAUGCACACGAUUGAUUUUAUGCACAGGCAGCUCCCACUUAUACAUGUGGACACCUUCGGGUGCCUAUUGUAUAAAUGUUCCUCUAACCGAUUCCUCUGUAACUGACCUGAAAUGGAAUUUUGAUGGAAGCUGUCUCCUUCUCAAGGACAAGGAAUUUUUCUGCUGUGCCGCUGUGCCCAUGUUACAAGAAUCCAGUGAUUAUAGUUCAGAUGAUUGAUGGCGUUUGGAUUGCGAACUGGGUAGUGUCAUUCUAUGGAUUCGGUGGUAUUGCUUGAUAUAUUAUUGUAAAGGAUGAGGAUGUAAAGGCUGAAUACCAGUGGCAUUUACCGUUAUGAUCGAAUUAGGGUGGCACGUGGACUAAUAGCUGAUCGAGAUUAGAAUUUUACUGCGAUCCCUAUUGGCCAAAUAACGUACACAUUGCUUAAGAAAAACAGCUUACUAUAAGAUGAUGAUGGUAGUAACUUCCGACUAUAUUUUUCCUCAAUUAAGUGAAAAGGUGCUUUCUAGCUAAAUCGGAACGAGUCCUAAUGCUGUUAAAAGUUUCGCAGCGUAUACUGCGAAACUUUAUACCCCUUUGAAAAAAAUAAUCACUGGUAAAAAAAAAUAUAAGAAUUAAACCAUCCUCAUUUUGUGCCAAUAUUCUGGAUAGCAAAGUCAAAAGUAUUCAGAUAACAUGUGAAAGAAGGAAGACGAACGAUUUGAACUCGGAAGUCUUCAGAUCAUGAGCAUGUGGAGGUUAUUAAAGAGGUACGUUCCGAAAACCCACAUGAAGUGAGAGAUCCUAUUGCAGCAACGGGGAAGAUAAAAAGCUCCUAAAACAGCAAGCUUGCCCAGGCACCAAUAAAUGCGAAUCCACCAAAAGGAGCCAUGGUAGCAUACUUUCUGUCUUCAAGGUAGGCAACGGCAUAACACGUCCCAGAGAAGGCCAGAAUUCCAGUCGUCAAAAGUGCCCCAAAAAUGUUAGGGCGAGUGGUCGUAGGAGCAGCCAGAAGGGCUGCUGUAUGAACCAAAUGGUAUAGGGAUGCUGUAUACCAAACCUCUUUGUAAGCAGGAUUUUUGGGCUUGAAGGCAUGAAAACCGUAGGUUCCCAACCCAAGCGCUGCCAUACCGGAGAUGGCAGCAAUUUUGUGCCAGAGACGAGGAUCCAUUACCUCAAUCGGCUUCAUCUUUGAUUUUGACGGAUGAAUUUAUUGACUUUCCUGUUUAGACUUUAGAGUGCCGUAUUGGGUUAAUUCCUUUUUGUCAACUGAAGCAUCAUAAGUUCAUAACAAGAAUGGUGAUCUACCCCGAUAAGACACUGAAGAAACUAAGCAAAUUUUAAUAUUAUGUGUCUGCUUGACUC